CAAUAGCGUAUAUUAAAGUUGUUGCGGUAAAAAAGCUCGUAGUUGGAUUUCUGUUGAGGACGACCGGUCCGUACCAUGUACGCGCAUCUGGUUCGGCCUCGGCAUCCUCUCGAUAGACGUUUCUGCGCUUGAUUGCGUGGAGCGGAUUUCGGGACUUUUACUUUGAGGAAAUUGGAGUGUUCACGGCAGGCUAACGCCAGAACAUAUUAGCAUGGAAUAAUACUAUAGGAUCUCGGUUCUAUUUUGUUGGUUUCUAGACCCGGGGUAAUGAUAAAUAGGGACAAUUGGGGGCAUUUGUAUCAACACGUCAGAGGUGGAAUUCUUGGAUUGUGUUGCGACAAACUACUGCGAAAGCAUUUGCCAAGGAUGUUUUCAUUGA
rnacentral:rRNA from 1 species